UGGGUGAUCUGCCCUGCACUUUGGGUUAAGCCUGGGAAACUGGGUCUAAUACCGGAUAUACCCUGCUGGUCGCAUGGCCUGGUGGGGGAAAGCUUUUGCGGUGUGGGAUGGGCC
rnacentral:rRNA from 1 species